rnacentral:rRNA from 1 species
ACCUACGGGGCGCAGCAGCGAGGAAUAUUGGUCAAUGGGCGGGGGCCUGAACCAGCCAAGUCGCGUGAGGGAAGACGGUCCUAUGGAUUGUAAACCUCUUUUGUCGGGGAGCAAAGAGGCCUCGUGAGGUCAAAAGCGAGAGUACCCGAAGAAAAAGCAUCGGCUAACUCCGUGCCAGCAGCCGCGGUAAUACGGAGGAUGCGAGCGUUAUCCGGAUUUAUUGGGUUUAAAGGGUGCGUAGGCGGGACGGUAAGUCAGCGGUAAAAAUGCGGAGCUCAACUCCGUACAGCCGUUGAAACUGCCGU